rnacentral:rRNA from 1 species
GUGUCUAUUGUACCCUGUUGCUUCGGCGGGCCCGCCGCUUGUCGGCCGCCGGGGGGGCGCCUCUGCCCCCCGGGCCCGUGCCCGCCGGAGACCCCAACACGAACACUGUCUGAAAGCGUGCAGUCUGAGUUGAUUGAAUGCAAUCAGUUAAAACUUUCAACAAUGGAUCUCUUGGUUCCGGCAUCGAUGAAGAACGCAGCGAAAUGCGAUAACUAAUGUGAAUUGCAGAAUUCAGUGAAUCAUCGAGUCUUUGAACGCACAUUGCGCCCCCUGGUAUUCCGGGGGGCAUGCCUGUCCGAGCGUCAUUGCUGCCCUCAAGCCCGGCUUGUGUGUUGGGUCGCCGUCCCCCUCUCCGGGGGGACGGGCCCGAAAGGCAGCGGCGGCACCGCGUCCGAUCCUCGAGCGUAUGGGGCUUUGUCACAUGCUCUGUAGGAUUGGCCGGCGCCUGCCGACGUUUUCCAACCAUUCUUUCCAGGUUGACCUCGGAUCAGGUAGGGAUACCCGCUGAACUUAAGCAUAUCAAUAAGCGGAGGAAAAGAAACCAACCGGGAUUGCCUCAGUAACGGCGAGUGAAGCGGCAAGAGCUCAAAUUUGAAAGCUGGCUCCUUCGGAGUCCGCAUUGUAAUUUGCAGAGGAUGCUUUGGGUGCGGCCCCCGUCUAAGUGCCCUGGAACGGGCCGUCAGAGAGGGUGAGAAUCCCGUCUUGGGCGGGGUGUCCGUGCCCGUGUAAAGCUCCUUCGACGAGUCGAGUUGUUUGGGAAUGCAGCUCUAAAUGGGUGGUAAAUUUCAUCUAAAGCUAAAUACUGGCCGGAGACCGAUAGCGCACAAGUAGAGUGAUCGAAAGAUGAAAAGCACUUUGAAAAGAGAGUUAAACAGCACGUGAAAUUGUUGAAAGGGAAGCGCUUGCGACCAGACUCGCCCGCGGGGUUCAGCCGGCAUUCGUGCCGGUGUACUUCCCCGUGGGCGGGCCAGCGUCGGUUUGGGCGGCCGGUCAAAGGCCCCUGGAAUGUAGUGCCCUCCGGGGCACCUUAUAGCCAGGGGUGCAAUGCGGCCAGCCUGGACCGAGGAACGC